rnacentral:siRNA from 1 species
ACUAUGUGUUGUUAUUCAAGCCUU